rnacentral:lncRNA from 1 species
UUGAAUCCUCAAAGUUUGUAGGAUGCGUAUUAGUUAUUACCAAGUGGGCCCAAAGUUGAGAUUGUAGUUACAAUAAAACACUUAAUCCCCAAGGAAGCUUUGGGGAUGUCUCAGCUUUACGUCCACCCGGAUGGUCAUGCUAGAAGAUAGAAUAAUGCUUGAAAUGUAUGUAGUCCAGUUCAUUUAGCUGUGAAGAUCUAGUCGGUCAUUCCAUUACUAUAAAUCCUUUCGUAGUUUAGUCACAAGCGCUGGAUGGUUUCACCGGCACUUUUUUAUCUCAUGAAUGGCCAAGACGACAAGAAGAAAGAAAUUGGAGGUAAAGCACAGAGAGAGGAAGGCAUUCCUACGGCACUUGCAUUCCAGGAAGUUCCAGGUGCUUCCCAAUCGGCCAAAGUCGUCAUGGAUGAGAGCUAGAGGUGGGGUUAAGAAGCGAAUGCUUUCGGAUUUGUACCCAAUCUCAUGUCACAAUAAUUUUCUUGUGUUCGUGGUUUACAGGAAAAAUCACGACAAGCUGAGGAACCAGGUUUACACGACAUGCGCAACAUAACGUAGAGAAUGCCUCAAAGCUUAAUGACAACAGACCCGAACGAGAUGUCUCAACUUUCAGCAUCAGUUGGUGGCGGACGACCAAUAUGAAAGACGGGAACUUGAUGUAAAAGAACAUCAAGUUAUGUCCAACUCACAAAGACAUGGAAAUGACCUAUCAAAAAGGGGAAGAUGUAGAAGAAGUUGCUCUUUCUAAGAGGCAUUACUUGUCUUUAGCUACACACAAGACAUCUCUGGAAUGAUUCUUUAAGAUUUUUCUGGCAUGUCCAUACUUGCUCCCCUCCCCUCUUCCCUUCAUUCAAUAAACUAUAUCUCUCACAUCUAUAUUGCAAUGAAUAUAUAUGUACAGGGUUCGUCAAA